rnacentral:rRNA from 1 species
UCGAGAAUAUUCGUCAAUGCGCGAAAGCGUGAACGAGCGAUGCCGCGUGCGGGAUGAAGGCCUUCGGGUUGUAAACCGCUUUUUUCGGGGAUCAAUUAUUGAGCGUACCUGAAGAAUAAGAGGUUACUAACUCUGUGCCAGCAGUAGCGGUAAUACAGAGACCUCAAGCGUUAUCCGGAUUUAUUGGGCGUAAAGCGCGGGUAGGUGGAUAUAUUAGUCAGAUGUCAAAUCCUCCGACUUAAUCGGAGAACUGCAUUUGAAACGGUAUAUCUAGAGAAAGUGAGAGACCAGUGGAACUCAUGGUGUAGUGGUGAUAUGCGUUGAUAUCAUGAGGAACACCAAAGGCGAAAGCAUCUGGUUGGCACUUUUCUGACACUGAGCCGCGAAAGCGUGGGUAGCGAAUGGG